GAUGAACGCUAGCUACAGGCUUAACACAUGCAAGUCGAGGGACCGGCGCACGGGUGAGUAACACGUAUCCAACCUGCACCUUACUCGGGGAUAGCCUUUCGAAAGAAAGAUUAAUACCCGUUGUAAAGGCUGGGGAUGCGUUCCAUUAGGUGGUUGGUGAGGUAACGGCUCACCAAGCCUUCGAUGGAUAGGGGGUCUGAGAGGAAGGUCCCCCACAUUGGAUCUUGGACACGGUCCAAACUCCUACGGGAGGCAGCAGUGAGGAAGAUUGGUCAAUGGGCGUUAGCCUGAACCAGCCAAGUAGCGUGAAGGAUGAAGGCUUUUGGGUCGUAAACUUCUUUUAUAUAAGAAUAUGUAUUAUAUGAAUAAGGAUCGGCUAACUCCGUGCCAGCAGCCGCGGUAAUAC
rnacentral:rRNA from 1 species